rnacentral:tRNA from 5 species
CUGUCCGUAGCUCAGUUGGAUAGAGCAUCAGCCUUCUAAGCUGAGGGUCGGGGGUUCGAUCCCCUCCGGACAGGCCA